UACGUAGGGUGCAAGCGUUAAUCGGAAUUACUGGGCGUAAAGCGUGCGCAGGCGGUUUUGCAAGUCAGAUGUGAAAUCCCCGGGCUUAACCUGGGAACUGCAUUUGUGACUGCAAGGCUAGAGUGUGUCAGAGGGAGGUGGAAUUCCGCGUGUAGCAGUGAAAUGCGUAGAGAUGCGGAGGAACACCGAUGGCGAAGGCAGCCUCCUGGGAUAACACUGACGCUCAUGCACGAAAGCGUGGGGAGCAAACAGG
rnacentral:rRNA from 1 species